rnacentral:rRNA from 1 species
AAGCGAUGGGGUGACGCAGGAAGGUAGCGGGGCCAGUCAGUGGUUGUACUGGUGUAAGAGUGUAGGCCGUGACAUAGGCAAAUCCGUGUCACAUUAAGGCUGAGACUUGAUGCAUACCCGUUGUGGGGAAUUCAGUGAUCCUAUGCUGCCGAGAAAAGCCUCUAGUGAGUUCAUACACGGCCCGUACCCCAAACCGACACAGGUGAUCAGGUAGAGAAUACCAAGGCGAUCGAGAGAACUGUGGUUAAGGAACUCGGCAAAAUGCCCCCGUAACUUCGGGAGAAGGGGGACCAUGCCCGGUGAACAUCUUCACGGUGGGAGCUGGGUGUGGUCGCGGAGACCAGAGAGAAGCGACUGUUUACUAAAAACACAGGUCCGUGCGAAGACGUAAGUCGAUGUAUACGGACUGACGCCUGCCCGGUGCUGGAAGGUUAAGAGGACCGGUUAGCCGUAAGGCGAAGCUGAGAAUUUAAGCCCCAGUAAACGGCGGUGGUAACUAUAACCAUCCUAAGGUAGCGAAAUUCCUUGUCGGGUAAGUUCCGACCUGCACGAAUGGCGUAACGACUUCUCUGCUGUCUCGACCACAGACUCGGCGAAAUUGCACUACGAGUAAAGAUGCUCGUUACGCGCGGCAGGACGAAAAGACCCCGGGACCUUUACUAUAGCUUGGUAUUGGCGUUCGAUUCGGUUUGUGUAUGAUAGGUGGGAGACUGUGAAGCAUGCACGCCAGUGUGUGUGGAGUCGUUGUUGAAAUACCACUCUGAUCGUAUUGGACGUCUAACCUCGGCCCAUGAUCUGGGUUAGGGACAGUGCCUGGUGGGUAGUUUAACUGGGGCGGUUGCCUCCUAAAGAGUAACGGAGGCGCCCAAAGGUUCCCUCAGCCUGGAUGGCAAUCAGGUGUUGAGUGCAAGUGCACAAGGGAGCUUGACUGUGAGACUGACACGUCGAGCAGGGACGAAAGUCGGGACUAGUGAUCCGGCACCGGCAACUGGAAGCGGUGUCGCUCAACGGAUAAAAGGUACCCCGGGGAUAACAGGCUGAUCUUCCCCAAGAGUCCAUAUCGACGGGAUGGUUUGGCACCUCGAUGUCGGCUCGUCGCAUCCUGGGGCUGGAGUAGGUCCCAAGGGUUGGGCUGUUCGCCCAUUAAAGCGGCACGCGAGCUGGUUUAGAACGUCGUGAGACAGUUCGGUCUCUAUCCGCCGCGCGCGUAAGGAACUUGAGGAAGGCUGUCCCUAGUACGAGAGGACCGGGACGGACGAACCUCUGGUGUGCCAGUUGUUCCACCAGGAGCAUGGCUGGUUAGCUACGUUCGGAAGGGAUAACCGCUGAAAGCAUCUAAGCGGGAAGCCUGUUCCAAGAUGAGGUUUCUCACCACCUUGCGUGGUUAAGGCCCCCUACAGACCAUGGGGUUGAUAGGCCGGAACUGGAAGCGCAGCAAUGCGUGGAGGUGACCGGUACUAAUAGGCC